rnacentral:lncRNA from 1 species
GCAGCUAAACAAAGCUGCAGCCACACCUGCCAACAUUUGUGCAGGGUAAAUACACUGCUGUUUUCUCUGUACGAGAUACUCUUCCCUUGUUCAUGACACGCUUCUCAGGUAUGACUUUUUCUUUGUGGUUCUUCUUUUCACCAAUCCCAGCAUCUAGGAGGCUGCAUUUCUGCAUGAUCAGUAACCUGCACCUUCUGAACUGAGAUGAGUGGGAGGACAAUGAGGUUACCAGCCUGAAAAUGGCAGUCGUAUAUAAAUCCUCUUAUCCCAUGGACAGAUUCUGUGAAGAUCAGCAGCUAUGUCUCCAAACACAGGGGCACACAGUCUUGAGGACUGCAGACACACCCAGCCUUGUUGGGUGAUUCUCAGUUUCCACGUGAAAGUCAGCUACUGUAGGAUUACUCUAACUGCUGAGCAACCCCAUCUCAAAGACUGUGUAACAACCAGACUCUUAGCCUCGCUGGUGUUGGACAGCUGUUGUUACUAUUUCAAGGCUAAGGCACUAGAAGAUGAAUUGAAGCAUACAGCUUCCCUAGGAAAUGUCUACUGCAGAGAAUUCAAUUGUAAAUGGAUCAAGGACUUUAACACAAGAUCUGAAACCCUGAAACUGUAAGAUGAAAAAAUAAGGAGCCUGCUUCACUUCACAGACACAGGUAAGGACUUUCUGAAUAAGACUUUCUUGUCACAGAAAAUAAGACUAAUGAUAGACAAAUUGUAUCUCGUGGAACUAACUAAAAAGUUCUGUACAGGAAAUAAAACAGUGAAGUGAGUGAAGACGCUGCCCACAAAAAGGGAGAACAUUUUGCCAGCUAUUCAUCCAAUUAGUGUCUACAGUAUACAAAGAAUUAAAUAAGAAAAACGGAUGAGGGGAAGAAACAACCCAAUUAAAAAGCUACAGAAGUACUGAUUGCUUCUGUAAAUGUAAAUGGUAAAAAGUACUCACCAUCUUUAGCUACCAGGAACAACAGCC